GCUGGUGUAGCUCAGUUGGUAGAGCAACUCAUUCGUAAUGAGUAGGUCAACGGUUCGACUCCGUUCACCAGCU
rnacentral:tRNA from 1 species